UUUAUAUAUUGCUUGUUUUCUCUGACUAUACAUAAUGUAGAGUGUGAAACUCCGGCGGGCACACAUCGAUUUCCAUCGAUGGCCAUUUAGCGUCUCGCCGAAGCAACCAAUUGUAAUCAAGGGUGGGAGUUCCUGCAAGCAGGAGAACUCGGUAAUGAUCCUUCCGCAGGUUCACUGAAUGGGAUUAGUAAGAGAAACAGAAACGAUCGGAAUAAACUCACCCUACGGAAA
rnacentral:misc_RNA from 1 species